rnacentral:rRNA from 1 species
GACGAACGCUGGCGGCGUGCUUAACACAUGCAAGUCGAACGGAAAGGCCCUGCUUUUGUGGGGUGCUCGAGUGGCGAAAGGGUGAGUAACACGUGAGUAACCUGCCCUUGACUUUGGGAUAACUUCAGGAAACUGGGGCUAAUACCGGAUAGGAGCUCCUGCUGCAUGGUGGGGGUUGGAAAGUUUCGGCGGUUGGGGAUGGACUCGCGGCUUAUCAGCUUGUUGGUGGGGUAGUGGCUUACGAAGGCUUUGACGGGUAGCCGGCCUGAGAGGGUGACCGGCCACAUUGGGCCUGCGCUACCGCCCAGACUCCUACGGGAGGCAGCAGUGGGGGAUAUUGCACUAUGGGCGGAAGCCUGAUGCAGCAACGCCGCGUGCGGGAUGACGGCCUUCGGGUUGUAGCCCGCUUUCGCCUGUGACGAAGCGUGAGUGACGGUAAUGGGUAAAGAAGCACCGGCUAACUACGUG